ensembl:lncRNA
GGAGGGCGGAGCUGCAGCACGGCCACGACCGGGCACCCAGGAGAGGAACAGUUCAAGUGCUGAAGUCCCUGAAGGAGAGGCUGGGGCUGCCCUCAGAGCAGAGCAGCACUGAGACAGACCAAGCUGCCAAACCCAUCGAGGAGAUCAGAGUGAAAACCCUGGAGGAAAUCCGCCUGGAGAGAGCCAAGCAGAGGAGAGCAGGAGAACCCCCAGCCAAAAUCCCAGCAGAAGGAAGGAAAACUGAAGAACCAAAUUCAGCAGCCAAACCUUCCCCUGCUGCUCGCAGCAAAUCCCUGAUGGGAGCCUUGGUGGAAAAAAACCACAAAAGGUUGGGAGAGGAGAAGGAGAAAGCUGAGGAGUUGAGCAGCAGGGCCAGAAGCGAGGGAGAUGCCAGGAGACAGAACCUCGGUGCCCCAGCUGCUGGCAGGGUGCAGCUGGCACAGGCUGGCAGGGCCAGGGGAGCUGCAGAGGUUCGGAUCAAAACCCUGGAGGAGAUCAAGAGGGAGAAGGCGCUGAGGCUGCAGCAGAGCGGGGANCUCCUUGGGAAUUUCCUUCUUUUUAUUCUGCCCUGGAUUUGUGUGGUGGAAUCUUGCCAGUGCUGGAAUCCAUCCCAUUCCCCUUUGGAAUAUUGCUUGGGAAGGAUUGAUCCAUUUCUGAGUAAUAACAACAAUAACAAUAAUAAUAAUAAUUGGUAAUAAUAAUAAAUGAUAAUAGUAAUGAUGAUGGUACUCAAUGGUGGGACUGAAGGAAACAGAAAAUCCUUCAGGAAUUGUUUCCUGUUAAUAAAAAUAGGCAAAUAACCCCCCAAUAAAACAUUAAAAACCCAAUUUUUGGAUGUUUUUCUUGGUUUAAAGCACCUGGAAGAGAAGAAAAAAUGAUUGUGGAGCUGAACAAACCUUCUGCCAAAAGUGGCUCUGCCCCUGCUGAGAAUUCAGGGAAUUCUGGAAUUCAGGUGAAGAGCCUGGAGGAAAUCAUGUGGGAGAAACGGCAGCAGAAACAGCGGCAGGAGGAGAAGCUGCAGCAGGGAGCUGGGGCAAACCCGGCCGAAAUCCAGGAAAAAAACCAGGAUAAAAAUAAAAACCAGGAAAAACCCUCAGGAUCAGGGAGCCCCGAGGCUGCUGUGGGCUCAGCCCAGCUGGGCAGGAGGAGAGGAGGGAAAAGCGGCGAGGAUGGAGCGGGAACUGCAGAGAAGGAGCCGGGGAAAAAGGGAGCUCAGCUGCCCGAGAGGAGGGGCAGAGCCAAGCCCAGGGUGUCCCUGCAGCCUCUGGACGCCAGAGCCCCUCCCAAGCAGCCCCUGAAGAGGAAGGGCCCCGAGUGCCCCCCGACUGUGGUGGCAGUGAAGCCUCUCAGUGCCACCAGCGGGCACAGCCCGGGCUGCCCAGCCAAGGUGAGGCCCCAAAUCCCCCCAAAAAACCCUGGAAAAUUGAAAUGUUCUCCAUUUCAGCAAUGCCCUUUUCACCCCACGGCUCUCAGGGGCAGCACAUUCCUGCUUUGGAGGCAUCUCCAAAAUUCCCUGCUGGGAUUUGGGAAUAUUUUGUCCUUUCCAAGGCAGAAAUUCCUUAAAAAAAACCCAAAUUCCUCAUUUCAGGAAUGUCCUGCUUCCCUAAAAUUUGGGAUUUUUUCUCAUUUCACAAAUGCCUGAAAUUUCAUUUCAGAAACUUCAUUUCAGGAAUCCCUAAAAUUUGGAGUUUUUCCUCAUUUCAGCAAUGCCCUGCUUCAGGUGAAGCACAAAAGGAAGAAUCUCCUAAAAUUUGGGAUUUUUUUAGAUCCUAAAACUUGUCCUGCUCCUCAUUGCCAGGUUCUUCAGAAUUCCCUGGUGGGAUUUGGGAAGGAUUUUUUCCCUUUCCAAGGCAAAAAUUCCUUUUAUAAAACCCCAAAUUCCUCAUUUUAGGAAUGUCCUGCUUCAGGUGAAGAAUCUCCUAAAAUUUGGGAAUUUUUUUAGAUCCUAAAAAUUCUCAGGUUCUCCAAAAUUCCCUGCUGGGAUUUGGGAAUAUUUUAUCCUUUCCAAGGCAGAAAUUCCUUAAAAAAAACCAAAUUCCUCAUUUCAGCGAUGCCCUGCUUCAGGUGAAGUAGAAAAAGAAAAAUCUCCUAAAAUUUGGGAUUUUUUCUCAUUUCACAAAUGCCUGAAAUUUCAUUUCAGGAAUCAUUUCAUUUUAGGAAUCUCUAAAAUUUUGGAUUUUUCCUCAUUUCAGCAAUGCCCUGCUUCUGGUGAAGAAUCCCCUAAAAUUUGGGAUUUUUUUAGAUCCUAAAAAUUCUCAGGUUCUCCAGAAUUCCCUGCUGGGAUUUGGGAAUAUUUUCUCCUUUCCAAGGCAGAAAUUCCUUAAAAAACNUGGCCGACAGGCUGGGCAGGAGGGCGGAGCUGCAGCACGGCCACGACCGGGCCCCCAGGAGAGGAACAGGUACAGCCGGGGACUGGGGUUUUAUAUGGGAUUGUGUAUUGGGGUUUUGUAUUGGGGUUUUAUAUUGGGAUGUUAUAUUGAAGUUUUGUAUUAGGAUCUUGUAUUGGGAUUUUGUAUUGGGGUUUUGUAUUGGGAUUUUGUAUUGGGAUAUAGUAUUGCGGUUUUAUAUUGGGAUUUUGUAUUGGGGUUUUGUAUUGGAUUUUGUAUUGGGGUUUUGUAUUGGGGUUUUGUAUUGGGAUUUUA